rnacentral:rRNA from 1 species
AACAGGAUUAGAUACCCGGGUAGUCCACGCCGUAAACGAUGAAUACUUGGUGUUGGAGGUAUUGACCCCUUCAGUGCCGAAGCUAACGCGUUAAGUAUUCCGCCUGGGAAGUACGGCCGCAAGGUUAAAACUCAAAGAAAUUGACGGGGGCCCGCACAAGCGGUGGAGCAUGUGGUUUAAUUCGAUGCAACGCGCAGAACCUUACCUAGAUUUGACAUGGACCGGAAGACUGGCAGAAAUGUCGUCGCUCGCAAGAGCUGGCUCACAGGUGCUGCAUGGCUGUCGUCAGCUCGUGUCGUGAGAUGUUGGGUUAAGCCCCGCAACGAGCGCAACCCCUAUGUUUAGUUGCCAGCAUUCAGUUGGGCACUCUAGACAGACUGCCGACGUUAAGUCGGAGGAAGGUGGGGAUGACGUCAAGUCCUCAUGGCCUUUAUAUCUAGGGCUACACACGUGCUACAAUGGUCGGUACAGAGGGAAGCAAGAGUGCGAACUGGAGCCAAUCCCAAAAAACCGAUCCAAGUUCGGAUCGAAGUCUGCAACUCGACUUCGUGAAGCUGGAAUCGCUAGUAAUCGUGGAUCAGAACGCCACGGUGAAUACGUUCCCGGG